rnacentral:lncRNA from 13 species
GAGGUUAAGAACCUCUUCUUUUCUUUUCUUCUUUUUUUUUCACAAUAAAAGUAUCUAAAAGAAAACAUAAUAGAUUAAAAUAUUUAAUAUAAGUGUUCUUGUAAACUUUCCAUUUUAAUUAAAGUUUCCACACAGCAAGCCCCUUUUAACACUGAACGUAUUCUGCUUUUCAUUAAAUGGUAAAGUCUAACAGAACUUUGGAGAUCAGAUAAAUCCUGAAAAUCCCUUAGGCAGAGCCAAAUUAAAGCAAAAUUUUGUAGAAAGUGAUUCCUCCCCUACCCACCACGAAAACAUCCAUCCCUCCUCCUUCUGUAUCCCCCAAGGUAUACUUAAUCCAAAUCCCACACAUAUUUAAUUUCAAUUUUAUGGUGCAGUUGCUCAUAAAAAUUUAGCUCAAUAGAGGUCAAAGCCUCUCCCUUUUGUCAAAGUUUGUUAACUUUGUAUUACUUGCAACAGAAUAGCUCCCUUUUCCAUAGGCCUUCUAUGUCUUUAGUGAAUUAACCUGCCAUGUAGUUCAAAUCACCUAUCUCUGUAUUCCCACAUCAAGCAAUGACUGUUUAGAGAUCAGGUCAAAUCAAUUUAAAUAAAAAUAAAUGAGAAUAGCUGUACAGCAUGAUUACAAAUGAGUGUUUUCCUUUGGAUCGUUUAUUACCAUCUUAUCAGAAAAUAGACCAAAGACCAAAGUGCUUAUUUCACUGGGAAGAAAUGUAAUGAUUCAGUGAGUUGCUCCCUACAGAAUCAAUGGAAAGCAGAUGUCUUAUGCACACACCCCGACAAUCUUGCAGUAAGUGCUGGUGCCUGGAAACCCUGUUUGUAAUAUCAUAUAUAGCAUAUAUAGCAUGUCUGCAUCUAAAUGUGGAUUUGUGUUAUUGGAAGUCAUACAUGAGGGAUUGCUGCCCCACCCCCAUUUCAACACUAGGUAAUGAAUAACGUGAAGUCUUCACCUCCAUGCCGAACAGUCUCCAUCCUACUUCCAAAAAGGUAAACAUUGUUCAUAUUUUGUUACAAAUUCUUUAAAAAUCAGCAUACUGAAAGAUGUUUGAGUAUUUCCUAAUAGGUGCAGAUCCUAUCAUAAAACUGUAUGCAUAUAAUAUUUUUAAAGAGAAAUCAUUGUUUUAGCAGAGUAAAGAAUACUUGUUAACAUUUCUUUGAAAUGCUUAUAUAUGAUUAGAAGCAUUGCUUUCUCGUAUUCUGUACAGAUAGUAAGUUCAAAGGCAUACUUGGAGACAGGAUUGUGUGUUUUCGCAAAGAAACUUCCUUCUUAAAUAACAGAGCACCUCUAAGCUUGGUUUUUUUAGAGCAGUUUCUAAUAUUAUGUUUAGUUUAUUAAGCCACAUAAAAUAAGGUUGGAUAUGAUUAUUUUUAUUUAUCAAGGUAAUUAUUUUCCCUAAAGUUUAAAGAAAACUUUAAGGAACAAAUAAGUGAAACUGGAGCAAGUUUACUGAGGUAUAGAUACACCACCACUAAUUUCAUAGUACAGUUAGUUGUCUUGGAAAGGUAUCAAGAGUUCAUCAAAAGGCCAAUGGAGUUUCUGAAAGCCCCACAGGAAGACCUGGCUAGUGACAAUAGUACCACCUCCUCUGGAGACCUGACUCUGAAAUGAAUUACACUCAGGGCAAAAACCAUUCUUCUGUAUUUGUAGAUAGCCUAAAAUGUAUGUCACAGCUGCUUGGCCUAAUUUUAUAGAGCAAGUGGAGGCUACUCCAUUUGCAAUUCACAAUGACAAGAUGAGCUCAGUAUUUGAACAAAGAAAUUUAAAUUUACCAAUAUUUAGCAACUGUAGGGUUUACA